rnacentral:lncRNA from 1 species
GGUUUAAUAAACAGGUCUGAGAGUGUUCACUGUGAAGAGAGGUUUAAUAAACAGGUCUGAGAGUGUUCACUGUGAAGAGAGGUUUAAUAAACAGGUCUGAGAGUGUUCACUGUGUGUAGAGGUUUAAUAAACAGGUCUGAGAGUGUUCACUGUGAAGAGAGGUUUAAUAAACAGGUCUGAGAGUGUUCACUGUGAAGAGAGGUUUAAUAAACAGGUCUGAGAGUGUUCACUGUGAGGAGAGGUUUAAUAAACAGGUCUGAGAGUGUUCACUGUGUGGAGAGGUUUAAUAAACAGGUCUGCCUCUUUCCUCCGUAUUAAAGAGAACCUGAAGAACCACAAACAAUGUAGGGAAUAUUCCACUAACAGUUAAAGUUAAUCACAGUCUUUAUGUGUUACUAUGUAUUAGUGUUUAGCCAGUGUAACAGAGUAAGAAAAUAUAUCCUGCUUUUAUUUGUGUAUUUCGUCAAAGUAAUACUCAGCCUAAAGGAAGACAUGGAGGAGACGUCUUUAAGGUCAUUUACAGUCAUCUAUGAAUAUCUCAGAGCAUCUGUUUAUGCCGUAUCCCAUGACCCACCACUACACGUACUCAUGCAAACACAUGUCCCACCACGUAUUUGUGUGUGUGUUAUGUGUGUGUGUGUGUGUGUGUGUGUGUGUGUGUGUGUGUGUGUGUGUGUG